rnacentral:lncRNA from 1 species
UCCAUUCAGUAUCUGCACAGGACAGUGACAACCUGCCAACUCCCUCCCCCUCUCCCUCCGUGGCUGAGAAGUGUGUUUUGCUGCAAACUGCGGUGCCUCACAACUGUUUGGUGUGCUGGAUGUUAACAUGGGCCCUGCACAGCUAUUUCGCAUGGUCCUUCCCAGCUAUUUCUGGCUAGGCAUAGUGCCUGCGGCCAGACACCGCAUCCCAGUGCUCCCUAGGUGCACGGGGCACCCUCCCGGGCCCGGGGCUCACCGGUGGCCGAGAUGACGGCGAAGAGCUCCUGCAGGGAGGGCAGCAGCGUGUCGGGCUCGGCCUUCCAGACGCUGCGCAGCAGCCCGCUCACCUGCGUCACCUGCGAGACGUAGAGGCGCAGCUCGGCCUCCCGGCUGCCCUGGCUCUGGAAGUGGGCGAUGCUGCGCACCAGCUGCUGGCAGAAGGCGAGCGAGAGCUUCCUGCCGCGGGGCAGGCACUGCGGGAAGUCGCCCAGCAGCUGGCACAGGCGGGCGCAGAGCGGCGGCGCCGGCCGCUCGCACACCAGGCGCAGCGCCUCCACCUGCAGCAGCUCGAAGAGCUCCAGCACCGACGGGCAGCUCAUGAUCAGGCGCAGCCCGGCCUGGAUGUAGUCCAGGAUGGCCGGGUCGCGGUUGCUCAGCUCGCCGUAGCCGCGCUGCAGGAGCCCGAGGACGAGCCCGCGGUCGAAGAACGCCUCGAACUCGGCGCGGUGGUAACGGCCGUAGGCCUCCAGCACCUGCCGGCCCACCUGCCGCUGGAAGCGGUCGGGGCCCUGCAGCACCAGCCGGGUGCCCAGCGCGAACAUGGCGCGGCACUGCGCCCGGCUCAGCGGCGUCUCGGCCAGCUCCACCACCCGCUGCACGAUCACCCGCUUCAGCGGCAGCGGGUGCGCCGAGCUCACCAGCCCCUCCAGGAUCUUGUCCAUGGCGGACGCCGCCAACGCAUCGGCCGAGAGGCGGCGGCGGCGGCGGGCGGGCGGGAGGACCGGCUCGGCACCGGGCCUCGGCGGGGGCCGCCGCCGCCGCCUCCCCGCGGCCGGGCCGCGGGGCGGCCUCUCGGCCG